rnacentral:misc_RNA from 1 species
GGAUCCACGGUUUUACGGGGCCUGGAUCUCCCCUUGUUUAUUCCUUGAUACAUGGAUGUAUCUAAACUAGAAUCUACUGAAAGGCUAUGUUUAUGAGGCAAUUUCACUAUUAAUUUCACUUCAUGUCAAACCCUGAACUUUCAUGUCUAUAUAUAUUGAGUAGUCUUCUUGACUCUUUUAAUUAACAUUAUCUAUAUACAACUAUACAUGUUUAUGCAACAAUGUCCGAAUUAUGUCAAGGAAAAGAUAUCACUUAGCAAAUUAUGUCCUUGCUAAACCAUUGUGACACAUUAGAAAUCGAUCUGUCUUAUUCUCAUUGCUAAUUAGUUCUGAUAAUUAGAUAUUCAUUCUGUUCAUUGGAAAAAAUAUAUAUUUCAGAGAAAAAACUGUAAUUCGUUAAACCAUGAAGAAUGCCUGGUGUGUUUGUAUGUGUAUAUAUGUACUGUGAGAGAUCGAGAGAGUUUAUCUGUGUGUGAUUUGUCUAUUGUUGGAUCUCUGUCCCCCUUUGUGAUACUUCAAUGUCAUUCCAAUGUUAACCCUACCUGUCCAGACUGUUAUGCACUAUAUAACUAUAUAUGUAUACAUAUAAAGUCUACAAAUGUUGUCAAAGGUAGAGAAUUUAUUACUCUGUACUUUUUUACAAUAUUAUCAAAGAAUUUCAUGUUAUCUACGUAAUAUUAAAAGUCUACAAA